AGAGUUUGAUCCUGGCUCAGGACGAACGCUGGCGGCGUGCCCAACACAUGCAAGUCGAGCGGGGUCAAAGUUCAACACUGAGUAUUUGGGCAAAGGCUGGUUUUGUGACCAGUGUUAUGCAGAAGCUACAUUAGAAUAUUAAAUAAAGUUUCUGCAUCAUGCUAUAUAGUGAAUAACACAAGCCCAAGUAUUGAGUGUUGAACUUUGACCUAGCGGCGGACGGGUGAGUAACGCGUGAGCAACCUGCCUUGCACAGGGGGAUAACACUCGGAAACGGGUGCUAAUACCGCAUAAGACCCCACUAUCGCAUGAUAGAGAGGUCAAAGGGCAUAACCGGUGCAAGAUGGGCUCGCGUCCCAUUAGCUAGUUGGUGAGGUAACGGCUCACCAAGGCGACGAUGGGUAGCCGACCUGAGAGGGUGAUCGGCCACACUGGGACUGAGACACGGCCCAGACUCCUACGGGAGGCAGCAGUGGGGAAUAUUGCGCAAUGGGGGGAACCCUGACGCAGCGACGCCGCGUGAGUGAAGAAGGUCUUCGGAUCGUAAAGCUCUGUCAUCGGGGACGAAGGAAUGACGGUACCCGAAGAGGAAGCCCCGGCUAACUACGUGCCAGCAGCCGCGGUAAUACGUAGGGGGCGAGCGUUGUCCGGAACUACUGGGCGUAAAGGGUGCGUAGGCGGCCUGAUAAGUCAGGUGUGAAAUACCAGGGCUCAACUCUGGGGGUGCACUUGAAACUGUCGGGCUUGAGUGCAGGAGAGGAAAGCGGAAUUCCUA
rnacentral:rRNA from 1 species